UGAGAUGUAGCUCAGUAGUAGAGCACACGCUUAGCAUGUGUGAGGUCCUGGAUUCAAUCCCCAGCACCACAC
rnacentral:tRNA from 1 species